CAAAAAUAAUUGGGUUCUAAUAGGUUUUAAAUAAUUUAGCUACUUAACUUUGUUGUGGAAGAAGGAUUUUUAUAUUUGAGAGCAUCUUGAGAAUUUUCAGCUACCCUUCAACAAUUAAUUAAGGAGACGUCCAAAUCUUCGUGCUGGCUUUGACUGAUAGCCAAGAAGCUCGUGUCUGUGGAAUAUGCAUCGGCUACCAACUUCAGGGUUUGAGUGAAAAUAUUAAUAAAAUUUUAAGGAUUAUCUGGCCCUGUCAAAAAAAAUUUUAAAAAAAAAAAAGUUUUCAAGGAUUUACUGCUGGCAAUGCAUAGGUGGCGACACCCAAUUACAUGUAGUUUGGGAUAAUAUAUAUUAUAUUUUUAUGAAUUAUGUAUAAUCAAACUAUCAAUCAUGAUAUUGUUUGGGCAUUACAGCAAUAAUAUUUAUUAUAACAAAA